AUACGGAGGAUCCGAGCGGUAUCUGGAUUUAUUGGGUUUAAAGGGAGCGUAGGUGGACAGUUAAGUCAGUUGUGAAAGUUUGCGGCUCAACCGUAAAAUUGCAGUUGAUACUGGAUGUCUUGAGUACAGUAGAGGUGGGCGGAAUUCGCUGUGAUAGGGGGAAAUGCUUAGAUAUCACGAAGAACUCCGAUUGCGAAGGCAGCUCACUGGACUGCAACUGACACUGAUGCUCGAAAGUGUGGGUAUCAAACAGGAUUAGAUACCCUGGUAGUCCACACAGUAAACGAUGAAUACUCGCUGUUUGCGAUAUACAGUAAGCGGCCAAGCGAAAGCAUUAAGUAUUCCACCUGGGGAGUACGCCGGCAACGGUGAAACUUAAAGGAAUUGACGGGG
rnacentral:rRNA from 1 species